rnacentral:rRNA from 1 species
GACGAACGCUGGCGGUGUGCUUAACACAUGCAAGUCGAACGGAAAGGCCCUGCUUUUGUGGGGUGCUCGAGUGGCGAACGGGUGAGUAACACGUGAGUAACCUGCCCUUGACUUUGGGAUAACUUCAGGAAACUGGGGCUAAUACCGGAUAGGAGCUCCUGUUGCAUGGUGGGGGUUGGAAAGUUUCGGCGGUUGGGGAUGGACUCGCGGCUUAUCAGCUUGUUGGUGGGGUAGUGGCUUACCAAGGCUUUGACGGGUAGCCGGCCUGAGAGGGUGACCGGCCACAUUGGGACUGAGAUACGGCCCAGACUCCUACGGGAGGCAGCAGUGGGGAAUAUUGCACAAUGGGCGGAAGCCUGAUGCAGCAACGCCGCGUGCGGGAUGACGGCCUUCGGGUUGUAAACCGCUUUCGCCUGUGACGAAGCGUGAGUGACGGUAAUGGGUAAAGAAGCACCGGCUAACUACGUG